GAAUCAAUCCUCGUCAUUUUUUUCUGACAAUAAUAUUGUCGACGACAAUAAUGUACUUAAUAUUUUGGAAAAAAGUUCAGAUAAAUAUUUGGAACCAGACAGUAUCGAAUUUCAAACGUCAAAUAAUAGCAGUAUUAAUUUCGAUGACUCCUAUAAACAAUCUGAUUCAAAUGAAUUUAUGGAAAAUGCAAUCACAAAUUCUGACAACGAUGACA